rnacentral:rRNA from 1 species
AGCUCCAAUAGCGUAUAUUAAAGUUGUUGCGGUUAAAAAGCUCGUAGUUGGAUUUCUGUUGAGAACAGCCGGUCCACCUCUUGGGUGAGUAUCUGGAUUGGUCUCGGCAUCCUCGUUAGAAACGUUGCUGCGCUUGAUUGCGUGGUGCGGGGCUAGCGACUUUUACUUUGAGGAAAUUAGAGUGUUCACGGCAGGCAAUCGCCUUGAAUAUAUUAGCAUGGAAUAAUAAUAUAGGAUCUUGGUUCUAUUUUGUUGGUUUCUAGAGCUAAGAUAAUGAUUAAUAGGGACAAUUGGGGGGGCAUUCGUAUUAAUGCGUCAGAGGUGAAAUUCUUGGAUUGCAUUACGACGAACUACUGCGAAAGCAUUGCC